rnacentral:rRNA from 1 species
AAGCGCUUGCAACCAGACUUGCACGCAGUUGAUCAUCCGGUGUUCUCACCGGGGCACUCUGCUGCGUUCAGGCCAGCAUCGGUUUCGGUGGUUGGAUAAAGGCCUUGGGAAUGUGGCUUCCUUCGGGGAGUGUUAUAGCCCUCGGUGCAAUGCAGCCUACCGGGACCGAGGACCGCGCUUCGGCUAGGAUGCUGGCGUAAUGGUUGUAAGCGA